rnacentral:rRNA from 1 species
AGAGUUUGAUCAUGGCUCAGAUUGAACGCUGGCGGUAGGCUUAACACAUGCAAGUCGUGCGAGAAAGUACCUUCGGGUGCGAGUAGAGCGGCGGACGGGUGAGUAACGCGUAGGAAUCUACCUAGUAGAAGGGGAUAGCCCGGGGAAACUCGGAUUAAUACCGUAUACCUCCUUAGGGAGAAAGAGGGCUUAGCUUUGAUGCUCUCGCUAUUAGAUGAGCCUGCGUAAGAUUAGCUUGUUGGUGAGGUAAUGGCUCACCAAGGCGACGAUCUUUAGCUGGUCUGAGAGGACGAUCAGCCACAUUGGGACUGAGACACGGCCCAGACUCCUACGGGAGGCAGCAGUGGGGAAUAUUGGACAAUGGGCGCAAGCCUGAUCCAGCCAUACCGCGUGUGUGAAGAAGGCUUUCGGGUUGUAAAGCACUUUAAGUAAGGAGAAAAAGAUUGUAGUUAAUACCUGCAAUCCGUGAUGUUACUUACAGAAUAAGGACCGGCUAAUUCCGUGCCAGCAGCCGCGGUAAUACGGAAGGUCCAAGCGUUAAUCGGAAUUACUGGGCGUAAAGCGCGCGUAGGUGGUUUUUUAAGUUGGAUGUGAAAGCCCUGGGCUCAACCUAGGAACUGCAUCCAAAACUAGAUGACUAGAGUACGAAAGAGGGAAGUAGAAUUCACAGUGUAGCGGUGGAAUGCGUAGAUAUUGUGAAGAAUACCAAUGGCGAAGGCAGCUUCCUGGUUCUGUACUGACACUGAGGUGCGAAAGCGUGGGUAGCGAACAGGAUUAGAUACCCUGGUAGUCCACGCCGUAAACGAUGACAACUAGCUGUUGGGAGACAAGAUCU